rnacentral:rRNA from 1 species
UAACGCGUGGGUAACCUGCCUUAUACAGGGGGAUAACAGUUAGAAAUGACUGCCAAUACCGCAUAAGCGCACAGUACCGCAUGGUAGUGUGUGAAAAACUCCGGUGGUAUAAGAUGGACCCGCGUCUGAUUAGCCAGUUGGCGGGGUAACGGCCCACCAAAGCGACGAUCAGUAGCCGACCUGAGAGGGUGACCGGCCACAUUGGGACCGAGACACGGCCCAAACUCCUACGGGAGGCAGCAGUGGGGAAUAUUGCACAAUGGGGGAAACCCUGAUGCAGCGACGCCGCGUGAGUGAAGAAGUAAUUCGUUAUGUAAAGCUCUAUCAGCAGGGAAGAAAAUGACGGUACCUGAGUAAGAAGCCCCGGCUAACUACGUGCCAGCAGCCGCGGUAAUACGUAGGGGGCAAGCGUUAUCCGGAUUUACUGGGUGUAAAGGGAGCGUAGACGGCAGUGCAAGUCUGGAGUGAAAGGCGGGGGCUCAACCCCCGGACUGCUCUGGAAACUGUACGGCUGGAGUGCAGGAGAGGUAAGUGGAAUUCCUAGUGUAGCGGUGAAAUGCGUAGAUAUUAGGAGGAACACCAGUGGCGAAGGCGGUCUGCUGGACAGCAACUGACGCUGAGGCGCGAAAGCGUGGGGAGCAAACAGGAUUAGAUACCCUGGUAGUCCACGCUGUAAACGAUGGAUACUAGGUGU